UGGGGAAUAUUGCGCAAUGGGGGAAACCCUGACGCAGCAACGCCGCGUGUGUGAUGAAGGCUCUCGGGUCGUAAAGCACUGUUGAGAGGAACGAGCCGGCAAGGGUUAAUAGGUCUUGCCCCGACGGUACCUCUUUAGAAAGCACCGGCUAACUCCGUGCCAGCAGCCGCGGUAAUACGGAGGGUGCAAGCGUUGUUCGGAAUUAUUGGGCGUAAAGCGCACGUAGGCGGAAUGUUAAGUCUGAUGUGAAAGCCCUCGGCUCAACCGAGGAAUUGCAUUGGAUACUGGCAAUCUUGAGUCCUGGAGAGGGUGGCGGAAUUCCCAGUGUAGAGGUGAAAUUCGUAGAUAUUGGGAGGAACACCGGUGGCGAAGGCGGCCACCUGGACAGUGACUGACGCUGAGGUGCGAAAGCGUGGGUAGCAAACAGG
rnacentral:rRNA from 1 species